GUGCUUGCUUUGGCAGCACAUAUGCUGAAAUUAGAGCAAUACAAAGAUUAGCAUGGUCCCUGCACAAGCAUGAUAUGAAAAUUCAUGAAGCAUGCCGUAUUUUU